rnacentral:lncRNA from 1 species
AUGGGGUUCACAGUUUUAGUUUUAGUAUUCAAAAUCACCAUAUUCAUUUUAUAUCAUCUAAAAAGUUAUGUUGUAAAUAAUGUGCAAGAUAAAUUCGAGUAUACACAGAUAUAUAAAAAAGCAAGGUCUAUUCAAAUGUUAAUCCUAUGAAAAAUGCGGACCAAUUAAAAAUGACGACAAAAUACCACUAAAUUUGAAACCUUUCACAUUUAACGUCGUAAAAUGAGAAUAACCUUUUAUUUGUUUUGCUUUUAUCCAUUCUUUCUCUAUGUAGGUUUUUAUUAUAUCGGCACUUCAUUCAUAAACGGAUUUAGGUAUUGGUGUUAGGAUUUAGGAUGAAUUUAUCUGUAAUGGACACCACACCUGAAAUGAAGGAGAUGAGGAAUGUAGAAAAAUUGUUUUAAAUAUUAACUUUUCUUCCCAUGCAGAAGAAAUAAUUUAGAAUUAUUGGUGUAAAAAGGGGGGAAAUAAAUUGGUGUUCGGAUGA